rnacentral:tRNA from 1 species
CGGGAUGUAGCCUAGCGGCUAAGGCGCCUGCUUUGGGAGCAGGAGACCGGAGGUUCAAAUCCUCUCAUCCCGA